AAUGGGGGCAACCCUGAUCCAGCAAUGCCGCGUGUGUGAUGAAGGCCUUAGGGUUGUAAAGCACUUUCACUGGUGAAGAUGAUGACGGUAACCAGAGAAGAAGCCCCGGCUAACUUCGUGCCAGCAGCCGCGGUAAUACGAAGGGGGCGAGCGUUGUUCGGAAUUACUGGGCGUAAAGGGCGCGUAGGCGGUCUUUUAAGUUAGGCGUGAAAGCCCCGGGCUCAACCUGGGAACUGCGCUUAAGACCGGAAGACUAGAAAACGGAAGAGGGUAGUGGAAUUCCCAGUGUAGAGGUGAAAUUCGUAGAUAUUGGGAAGAACACCAGUGGCGAAAGCGGCUACCUGGUCCGAUUUUGACGCUGAGGCGCGAAAGCGUGGGGAGCAGACAGGAUU
rnacentral:rRNA from 1 species